rnacentral:rRNA from 1 species
GAUAACGCUGGCGGCGUGCCUAACACAUGCAAGUCGAACGCCCUGGAGCAAGUUCAGGGAGUGGCGGACGGGUGAGGAACACGUGGGUGAUCUACCUUGAGGUGAGGAAGUACCGGCGAGAAAUCGCCGACAAUACCGCAUACGUUCGUAAGAACAAAGUCGCAAGACGCCUGAAGAUGAGCCUGCGUCCGAUUAGCCAGUUGGUGGGGUAAUGGCCUACCAAAGCAGCCGAUCGGUAGCUGGUCUGAGAGGACGAUCAGCCACACUGGGAUUGAGAACGGCCCAGACUCCGUACGGGGG